AACCUGGUUGAUCCUGCCAGUAGUCAUAUGCUUGUCUCAAAGAUUAAGCCAUGCAUGUCUCAGUACAAGCCAAAAUAAGGUGAAACCGCGAAAGGCUCAUUAAAUCAGUUAUGGUUCCUUAGAUCGUACCCACAUUUACUUGGAUAACUGUGGUAAUUCUAGAGCUAAUACAUGCAAACAGAGCUCCGACCGGAGACGGAAGGAGUGCUUUUAUUAGAUCAAAACCAAUCGGUGGCGAGUUCGCUUGCGUUCUCGUCCACCGCCAAUUAUGGUGACUCUGAAUAACUUUAUGCUGAUCGCACGGUCUUGCACCGGCGACGCAUCUUUCAAAUGUCUGCCUUAUCAACUGUCGAUGGUAGGUUCUGCGCCUACCAUGGUUGUAACGGGUAACGGGGAAUCAGGGUUCGAUUCCGGAGAGGGAGCCUGAGAAACGGCUACCACAUCCAAGGAAGGCAGCAGGCGCGCAAAUUACCCACUCCCGGCACGGGGAGGUAGUGACGAAAAAUAACGAUACGGGACUCAUCCGAGGCCCCGUAAUCGGAAUGAGUACACUUUAAAUCCUUUAACGAGGAUCAAUUGGAGGGCAAGUCUGGUGCCAGCAGCCGCGGUAAUUCCAGCUCCAAUAGCGUAUAUUAAAGUUGUUGCGGUUAAAAAGCUCGUAGUUGAAUUUGUGUCCCGCGCUGUCGGUUCACCGCCCGCGGUGUUUAACUGGCACGAUCGCGGGACGUCCUGCCGGUGGAUGUGUGUGGUGCAAUGUUUCGGCACUGUGUCACCGCAUCCGACUCAACAAUCCUGUCGCGGUGCUCUUAAUUGAGUGUCGAGGCGGGCCGGCACGUUUACUUUGAACAAAUUAGAGUGCUCAAAGCAGGCUAAAAUUUCGCCUGAAUACUGUGUGCAUGGAAUAAUGGAACAGGACCUCGGUUCUAUUUUGUUGGUUUUCGGAACCCCGAGGUAAUGAUUAAUAGGGACAGAUGGGGGCAUUCGUAUUGCGACGUUAGAGGUGAAAUUCUUGGAUCGUCGCAAGACGGACAGAAGCGAAAGCAUUUGCCAAAAAUGUUUUCAUUAAUCAAGAACGAAAGUCAGAGGUUCUAAGGCGAUCAGAUACCGCCCUAGUUCUGACCAUAAACGAUGCCAGCUAGCGAUCCGUCGACGUUCCUCCGAUGACUCGACGGGCAGCUUCCGGGAAACCAAAGCUUUUGGGUUCCGGGGGAAGUAUGGUUGCAAAGCUGAAACUUAAAGGAAUUGACGGAAGGGCACCACCAGGAGUGGAGCCUGCGGCUUAAUUUGACUCAACACGGGAAACCUCACCAGGCCCGGACACCGGAAGGAUUGACAGAUUGAGAGCUCUUUCUUGAUUCGGUGGGUGGUGGUGCAUGGCCGUUCUUAGUUGGUGGAGCGAUUUGUCUGGUUAAUUCCGAUAACGAACGAGACUCUAGCCUGCUAACUAGGCGUAACUUUCCGGUAUCUUGAAGGCCGGCGUCUCUCGUAUCCGUUCGUGCGUGGCCAUCGUUUCGGCGGUGUGUCGCGUAUGUGGCGGUCGGGAGUUCGUGGUUUUUACUACCGGCGUACAAUUGUAUCUUCUUAGAGGGACAGGCGGCUCCUAGCCGCACGAGAUUGAGCAAUAACAGGUCUGUGAUGCCCUUAGAUGUUCUGGGCCGCACGCGCGCUACACUGAAGGAAUCAGCGUGUCCUCCCUGGCCGAACGGCCCGGGUAACCCGCUGAACCUCCUUCGUGCUAGGGAUUGGGGCUUGCAAUUGUUCCCCAUGAACGAGGAAUUCCCAGUAAGCGCGAGUCAUAAGCUCGCGUUGAUUACGUCCCUGCCCUUUGUACACACCGCCCGUCGCUACUACCGAUUGAAUGAUUUAGUGAGGUCUUCGGACUGGCACGCGGCAGCGUUUCGACAUUGCCGAUGUCGCUGGGAAGAUGACCAAACUUGAUCAUUUAGAGGAAGUAAAAGUCCUAACAAGGUCUCCGUA
rnacentral:rRNA from 1 species